rnacentral:lncRNA from 1 species
CUUCUAAUGAAAGUGGAUAUGGCUCCCUCCCUCUAUCUUUCUCAUUCUCCCCCUCUCCACUGACAGUGGUAAUUGACUUUCUCUCUCCUCUUGUCUCUUGUUUGUGUGGCCGUGCGAAGGACUGACAAAUGACCCACCAAGCAGCCUGAUGGCCCUAUAUUACCCACUCCCCUAUUUGCUUAAUCCAAAAACAAGAUUCUGGGUCCGUUUCACCUCUCUCUCUCUCUCUCUCUCUCUCUCUCUCUCUCCAGGGAGAUUGAUGGAGUGCUUCACCUCAAUAGCUUGCCUCCGUCUGGGAUAGGGGGAGAAAGGGAGAAGAGAGGAAAGAGCAGAAAAAGAGGAGAAAAGGAGAGGUGAAGCGAAGAGAGGAAAGAAAAUGGGAAAGGUGAUAGAGAGAAGGAGGAGGGAGAGGAAAGAGAGGAGGAAGGGGAUUGAGACAGAGAAGACAUAUGAAAUAAGGAAUGAGCAGUGAGAAGAGAGGAGAGAGAAAAUAAAGUAAGAGGGGGAGGGGUGAGCCUGAUUAAAUGCAGGGUCUGUGUAUGUAUUGGAGUGGAGGAGAGAAAUAAAUAAAGGAAGAGGUAAGGGGUGCCCAAUAAGGGGUAAAUCUGAAUCAGGACAGCACUCUAUCCCCCCCUCCGUCCAUCCUCCCAAAUAUCCCUCAUGUUAAUAUACCCCCAGCGUGGCACUCUGGGUAACAUAACUUUGACCUGUGAAUACGCUAACAACUUAUUUUUUGCACACUGAAGAAUCCAUUAUUUUGCAGAUCUGUUUACAUACAGUCCGAUUGUUUAGAUUAGUCUGAGUGUGUGUACGGGUGUGUGUGUGAGUGUGUGUGUGUGUGUGUGUGUGUGUAAGUGUUUGUGUAUAAGAGCAUGUGUGCAUGCGUGUGACUGUGUGAGCGUCUACAAAAACCUGUGAAUAACACUGAGGCUUCUGGGAAAUGUUGUGGUCAGGGUCAUACUCUGAUAAAACGGCAUGUGUGCAGUCUGCUAGUUUAUCUCAGUGAAAAACACACUAACCGUGUUCUUCAAACAGGCGAGGGGGGAUCACAACUGUCUCUGUCACUUAUACCUUCUUUAACUCCUCAGAAAAAUGGUUUUGCUUCAUAUUGGCGAAAUCAGAAAGCUUCAAACUCGGGAGGACAUCAACAGUAGCUCAACGUGAUGUCUCCUGCCGUGUGUGUGACUGACAUCUUCAUCCUUUAAUAUGUUUCUGCCUAACAGAUCUGCAUUAACUUAUCACCACAGAGCCAGGUAGCAGCGCCGCUCCCAUCCUCCUUUUGAUGUUGUGUUUGUGUACGCGCUGACCGCAAGGACGGGCGCUAAUACACACAUCAAACGCCUUUUACUACUACUGCUUCCCCACCAGGCAGGCAGGCAGGCAGGCAGGCGCACGCACACACAC